rnacentral:rRNA from 1 species
AGGGCGUAUGGGGAAUGCCUAGGCUCUCAGAGGCGAUGAAGGACGUGAUAAGCUGCGAAAAGUUACGGGGAAUGGCACACACAUUUUGAUCCGUAAAUAUCCGAAUAGGGCAACCUGAUUAUUUGAAGAAUAAUCAUCCAUCUUGUAUGGAAGCAAACCCGGAGAACUGAAACAUCUAAGUACCCGGAGGAAGAGAAAACAAUAGUGAUUCCGCUAGUAGUGGCGAGCGAACGCGGAAUAGCCCAAACCUAAAUUGUUACGGCAAUUUAGGGGUUGUAGGACCACAAUAUUUGUUGCUCGAUGAAUUAGAAUCUGUUGGAAAGCAGAACCAGAGAGGGUGAUAGUCCCGUAUAAGUAAAGAAAGUUAACAAUAGUGGUAUCCUGAGUAGUACGGGGCACGGGAAACCUUGUAUGAAUCCGGCGGGACCAUCCGCCAAGGCUAAAUACUCCUGAGAGACCGAUAGUGAACUAGUACCGUGAGGGAAAGGUGAAAAGAACCCUAAGUAAGGGAGUGAAAUAGAUCCUGAAACCGUACGCCUACAAGCGGUCGGAGCAACUUCGUGUUGUGACGGCGUGCCUUUUGCAUAAUGAGCCUACGAGUUACUGUUUCUAGCAAGGUUAAAUAUUUAAGAUAUGGAGCCGUAGCGAAAGCGAGUCUGAAUAGGGCGCUUUAGUUAGUAGUAGUAGACGCGAAACCGGGUGAUCUACCCAUGGGCAGGUUGAAGCUGUGGUAACACAUAGUGGAGGACCGAACCAGUUGACGUUGAAAAGUCUUUGGAUGACCUGUGGGUAGGGGUGAAAGGCCAAUCAAACUCGGAAAUAGCUCGUACUCCCCGAAAUGCAUUUAGGUGCAGCGUUGAGCAAAAGUUUUAUAGAGGUAGAGCUACUGAUUGGAUGCGGGGGCUUCACCGCCUACCAAUUCCUGACAAACUCCGAAUGCUAUAAAAUGUUUCUCAGCAGUGAGGGCAUGGGUGCUAAGGUCCAUGUCCGAGAGGGAAAGAACCCAGACCAUCAGCUAAGGUCCCAAAGUGUAUGCUAAGUUGAAUAAACGAGGUUUGACUGCCCAGACAGCUAGGAUGUUGGCUUGGAAGCAGCCAUUCAUUUAAAGAGUGCGUAACAGCUCACUAGUCGAGCGGUUCGGCAUGGAUAAUAAUCGGGCAUAAACAUAUUACCGAAGCUAUGGACUUGUAAAAGUGGUAGGGGAGCAUUGUAGUGUCGUCGAAGGUAAAACGUGAGUUUUGCUGGAGAAGCUACAAAAGAAAAUGUAGGCAUAAGUAACGAUAAUGCGGGCGAGAAACCCGCACACCGAAAGACUAAGGUUUCCUCAGCUAUGCUAAUCAGCUGAGGGUUAGUCGGGACCUAACGCGAACCCGAAAGGGGUAGUGGAUGGACAACAGGUUAAUAUUCCUGUACCUGCUCUCAUUAAAAGUGACGGAUUGCCCAGAUAUCUACGUGGUGACGGAAGUCCACGUUGAGCAUAGCCUUCGGGCGAAGCGAAGAUAAGUAAGCAGUUCCUAGAAAAGCGAGAGAAGCAGCCCGUACCGCAAACCGACACAGGUAGUUGGGAUGAGAAUUCUAAGGUGCUCGAGAGAUUCAUGGCUAAGGAACUAGGCAAAAUCGACCCGUAACUUCGGGAGAAGGGUCGCCACGUUUCGACGUGGCCGCAGUGAAAAGAUCCAGGCGACUGUUUAUCAAAAACACAGGACUCUGCUAAAUCGAAAGAUGACGUAUAGGGUCUGACACCUGCCCGGUGCCGGAAGGUUAAGUGGAGUUGUUAGCUUCGGCGAAGCAAUCAAAUGAAGCCCCGGUAAACGGCGGCCGUAACUAUAACGGUCCUAAGGUAGCGAAAUUCCUUGUCGGGUAAGUUCCGACCUGCACGAAUGGUGCAACGAUCUGGAUACUGUCUCAGCCAUGAGCUCGGUGAAAUUGUAGUAUCGGUGAAGAUGCCGAUUACCCGC